rnacentral:rRNA from 1 species
UGAGGAAUAUUGGACAAUGGUCGGAAGACUGAUCCAGCCAUGCCGCGUGAAGGUUACGGUCCUAUGGAUUUUAAACUUCUUUUAUGCGGGAGCAAUAAGGUGCACGUGUGCAUCGAUGAGAGUACCUCAUGAAUAAGCAUCGGCUAACUCCGUGCCAGCAGCCGCGGUAAUACGGAGGAUGCAAGCGUUAUCCGGAUUUAUUGGGUUUAAAGGGUGCGUAGGCGGAAUUAUAAGUCAGCGGUGAAAUUCACAGGCUCAACCUGUGCCGUGCCGUUGAAACUGUAACUCUAGAAUACGGAUGCUGUGGGAGGAAUGUGUAGUGUAGCGGUGAAAUGCAUAGAUAUUACACAGAACACCGAUUGCGAAGGCAUCUCACAAAGUCGUCAUUGACGCUGAGGCACGAAAGUGUGGGGAUCAAACAGG